rnacentral:tRNA from 1 species
UCGCGAGUAGCGCAGCUUGGUAGCGCAACUGGUUUGGGACCAGUGGGUCGGAGGUUCGAAUCCUCUCUCCGCCGACCA